AUUGAACGCUGGCGGCAGGCCUAACACAUGCAAGUCGAGCGAGCGGCGGACGGGUGAGUACUGUCUGGGAACCUGCCUGAUGGAGGGGGAUAACUACUGGAAACGGUAGCUAAUACCGCAUACCAUCAGAUGUGCCCAGAUGGGAUUAGCUGGGAGGUGGGGUAACGGCUCACCUAGGCGACGAUCCCUAGCUGGGCUGAGAGGAGGACCAGCCACACGUGAACGGAGAGACGGUGCAGACUCAUACGGGAGGCAGAAGUGGGGAAUAUUGCACAAGGGGCGCAAGCCUGAUGCAGCCACGCCGCGGGUGUGAAGAAGGCCUUCGGGUUGUAAAGCACUUUCAGCGGGGAGGCGUGACCCGCAGAAGAAGCACCGGCGAACUCCGUGCCAGCAGCGGAGGUAAUAC
rnacentral:rRNA from 1 species